UCUGCAUUCUCAUCAGCCAAAAACGUCCUAAGGGUUUAUUCAAGCUGGUUUUUCAUAAUUUUUGCACCAAAUCCAUAAAAUUCAAAUACGAAGCUAGAUCGAGGAAAAGAAAAAGUUCGGGAUUAGUAGAUUUUUGUUUACGAACAAGUAUCGAGUGUUAAGAGCUCGGGGGUUGGAUUUGGUCAGAGACGCAUCACACUAUCAACCUCAAGAUCUCGGUAUAUAAAGAAACUUUAUUUUGAAAAUCAAUGACAUGUAUAAGCUAGUAAAGUAAAUGUUAAUGUGAAAUGAAUGUAUGGUUAGCCAUUGGUAUGGCUACCAAAUUUUGGUUUUGGUAUGUGAUGAGGUUAUCUUAUGAAUACGUUAAAUCUAUCUUGAAAAUAUGUUGAAAUGGAUUGGUUGUGUUGGAUUGGUA